AAACCGGGGAGGUAUUUAUUAAUGCUGUUUGGAGAUGGGUUGCGUCUCUCUGAUGAGCCACUCGAGAGCUUCCUGGCGGCCCUGUUUCUGCAAUUCCUUCCCAAUCACAUCCCUGCAGGUCAGGUGGUAAUUGUUGAGCCAGUCGCACUGCAGGGAAGAGAAGGACAGACACGGUAUUCACCACUACAUCUUUAACAACUGGCUACACAGGUCAACAGCAAAGGCCCCCAUGUGCUAAGAUCACAAGCUGAGAGAAAAGGUGUGCAACACCCUUUCUCCUUACUCACAGGUAAGUAUUUUCCUUGUGUUCUGUUUCCCCGGAAAUACAUAGGACCAGACUUCAUGGCUUCUGGUGAAAAGGCUCCCAGAACAGUUUACUAUUAUAGACAGCAGUCUCUAAGCCAGUAGCUCCUGCUCCCACCUGUGUGGCUUCAUUCCCUUAAACCUGAGCCAUCCUGGGAGGUGGUAAGUGGGGGAAUAGCCCCGGACUCUGUGAGAACUCCUGCUGAGAGAGACACUCGAAGCUGUCCUGCCAACACACUGGGCUACAUAUCCUAUAUCCACUGAAAAAGCUGAAUAAAAAACUAGGAUCAGCCAAGCCCAUGGGUGUCUUUUGAGUGUAGCUGCCUAGAUGAACCCAAAACCUGCGGUGGUUAAAGACUGUGGUGCAGCAGAAUGGCGCUGGGAGUAAACUUAGUUUUCAGACUCUCAACUCAACAUGCCACAAGAGCAGGAGACAAAAAAGAGAGUGAAAGGAAGGACCUGCUGGCAGGACUUGGUGCCUGGGCAGGGGCUGAUCCACUAGACAUGAUGGCAAAAGCUCUGAGGCAGGAAAAAGGGUGAACUCUCCUCCUUGGUUGUAUACGGGAAAAGGUGAAGUCUGGAGUGAAGCAGGUUUUACCAAGAGGACAACAAGCCACUCUCAUCACUGUCUAUGGGGGUAGCUGUCUGGAAGCUGAUGAGACUGAUAGUGCCAUGGCUGUGCUUGUCAUAAAUGAGUCAAAGGCCAUUUUGGAGGGCAGCGAUGUUACAGAAGUACUGCUUUCAGGGACUACAAUCCAGCCAGGUACCAAAGCCCAGCUGGGGUCAGGAUGGGCACACAAACCCAUUAAUUACAAGGGACUGAGGGCAGACAGAUAGGGUGGUGUUACCAACUGGCUGUGACCCAGCCAGGGUUCCAAUCCCUACUGAGAAGAGCCUAGUAGCCCCUUCUGGGAGUCAGGGAAGUGAUGGGGGCAGGGGAGGAUGUCAAAAGCAGGCAAACUGCUAUGUGUCCACAGCAAGGCCAGCAGGGCUACAAAGCAGCCUACUGUCCAAAGCAGCUCAACAGUAAGGCAACGGCAGCAUCCUGGUGUAAGCCUGGGGCCACAGCCAAACGCCCAUGGCCCUUUUGGUUGGAAGUAGGGAGGGAAAAGUGGGAGUGUGGACAGCCUCGGUGGAGCCUGAGGAGCAGCACAAGGCCCUGACAGUCUGCAGCUGGCCAUAUUCAUAUCUGACCAAGGUCCUUUGCUGCCAUCUGGUGAUAAGUGAUGACGAUGCAGACCCAAACCAAAAACUCCCUAAAGUGACUCCAAAAUAAAGGCUAAAUAGUAAAGGGCAAAUGACCAGAUAUUUUAAAAGCCAGAUAUUUUAAGAAGACAUUAUCUGCCCUACAAAGAGUAACUGGCCGAAAGAAUAGUUCAAUCAUGUGGGCAUGCAAGGUGCAGCAAUGAAACACUGGGUAACACAGAUCCCUGGUCUAUGUCCAAUGUCACGGGAGUAGACUGAUUCUCCUUCGAGGAAAAAUGGCCUGGCUUAAACUUCCUCAUAUACUACUUCCCUGGAUAAAGGGGAAUGUCAUAUGGGAGAAAUGCCUCCUGAUGGGUACACUUUAUGUGGACAGGAAGGACUGCAUGACCUAGAAUUACUUGGCAGGAAUCCAUAGCCUUGGACUUCCAAGAGUGCGAAAUGACUUAUUACUGGAAAGCCCCUUGCUAAGUCCCUGGAAGCUGUGCCCAAGGGCCAUUACAAGAGACACUGGUUCCUAUGGGGCAGAGGGAUUCUAAGCAGGGUGGGUCCCAUGCCCACCUAUGUGUUUUCAUUUCCUCUCAGCUAAGGCAACACUUACAGGGGCUGGACAAGAGCCCCUGGACACUGGAAGGACUCUUCCUGCUGAAGAGACACACCAGACAUUGUGCUGAUAGGCUGAGUUUCCUUUUCCAUAUCCAUCUACAAGCUGCAUAACCCACCCGGUAUCAGCAAGGCCCAUGUGGGUCCUGUGAGUGGGAAUGUUUAGCUGAACCAAGGGCACGGAUGGUUAAGCAGAGGCGCUCAAGCACAGAGGAAAGCUAAGCAGGAAGUGGAUGGACUUUCUCAUCACCCACCUGUGAACUGGAACAGGCAGAAGAGGCUUCUAGCUGGGAGAAUCCCAUUCCACAGCUCCUGUGGAAGGGAAGGUCCUUAACCCCCAAAGACCCUUUCCUUUACAGUGUCAAGAACGAGGCCCAAGUGGGCGCCAGUGAGGAAAUGUUCCUGCCUUGAGAGGCACUCAAAGGCCAUUGGCUGCCUCAGAUAACAAAAUAUUCUUAUUCCGAGAGUAACCCACCGUGCUUACCCUGCCUUCGGCUCCCACCAGUCAUUUGCUUUUCAUUGGAACUUCUGACCCCUGCCUUGCUCUGGAAUUUGUGUCCUCCUGGCUUCCAGCUUCCUGGUUUGGGAACUGUUUUGUCUGUCUAGUGCUAACAGUUCCUACCCCAUUUCUGACCCUUGUUUCUGCUCUGACCUUGAACAUCUGUGUGAUUCUUCAGGCCUUUCUCAUGUCCCCAGGACUGCCAUCUGACCUGGCCUUACCAGUCCAGGGUCUGAAGGAGUUAAGACCCAUAACCCUCUGAGCUGGGCAAGUAAGCACUGUUGUGCCCCAGGCUUUGUGAAGGGUUUCACUGCCCCAGAGUGACCACAGUAGUAACCGAGAAGGGCUGGUACUAUCUUUCUCCUUGUCUGUGUGAAAACAGGACAUACGAUAAUAGAUUUUGCUUUCCAUUUCCUUAAUGUUUCAUGUAACACAAGAAAACAAUCUGGUAUGUACAGUGGCCAAGAGGCCCCACCAUCCAUCUGGCUUUUUGUAGGGACACACAUAGGCUCAUAUUUGCUAAACACGCCUCACUGCAGCUAUGGAGGAAUAGUACAGCCAAACAAUGGCAUACGAGUUCCACCCACAAACCCUACAGCCCCAGAAUGGCUGCGGGAAACAGGACUAUCUCCACCUGGAGGCCCAACAAAUACAGGAAAAGCUCAGGAGUCCUCAGAAAACCUAGGGCUUUCAGACUCAACUGGCCUAGACCUCUAAAUUUAAAAAUUACAAAGUGAGACUGGAUUAGAGAAUUUAGGAUUUAGAGGAUGGAUUAGAACUAUUUAAGGUAGUCUCCACCUCCCCUAGUAACAUGCCUGCCCACCAAGACUUCCCCAUUACCUCUUUGUCUGUAAGAGAAUCCACAUCUAUCAUUUUGGUCUGAAUUGGAACCAAUGUUAGAGGUUCAAAGGUCAGGCUUCCCCGGUUAUUAAAAUUAUACUGCGGGAGAAAGAAGAAAACAGAUGCUUUUACUCCUCUUUACUAUGCUGAAGCACCAUGAGGUCAUUCCACCAGCAUGCCAUCCCUCAGAGCCAGGGGUAACUGGGAGCCAAGAAGUGGUGAGCUGGUCACCACUUUUCACAGACACACAAGGAACCUGAUGCCAUUUUCCAAGAGCUCCUCCACUGGGCAAACAAUGGCCUGUGCCAUCAGGAAAGGCCAAACAAAGGGUGCUGAGGGGCUCCCAGCAACAGGUCCCAAGGCUAAUGUCUACUGUGAUAGGAAACAGGGGCAGGAUAUGGGGGUAUCUGGGCUUAGGGGCAUCUCUGGUUUUGGUUCUCCAGGAUGCAGGGGUGUAAGUCCUCAAAAUCAUUUUUAUAACAGUCAACUGUGUGGUCUGCCUUGACCCAGCCAGGCCCAUCAGGCGACAACACAUCUAUCCACUGGAGCACACAAGAACAUGUCGGGUUUCUGUUCAUGGCAGCUUUUGGGAAUAAGAUGGGAGGUCACUUCCAAGAAUAGUGACUUCCAUGCCAAAGCAGAGAGCAGAUCCCCGCAGUUAACCUCCUUGUAGACACAGGAAGCUACUUCCCUCCAAUUGUUCAAUUCCACCAAUGGAGGAGGCACAAACAGGUCUUUUAGGUAAAGCCUAGAGCCUAAAACCCUGCAACCUUGGUAACACUGAUGGGGGAAGAGGGUGAAACACCUGUCUUGUAUUGCCUUUGAGGCUGACCCAUGGAUAACUCAGGGUUCCUCAACUUUACCUAAUAAAAGUCACCUGGGGAGUGUGACAAAAUUACAGCUUCCAGGCCCCCCACCCUGGAAAUUCUAGGGUCUGGGAGGGGCCCUGGAAAUUAGCGCCUUGAAUAGGCACCCCUAGCAGAAGAGACAACAGGCCGCCUAUAGUAAACUCAGAGCCCCAAAUCAUGUGAAGCAAGCAUCAGCCUGAGGGUCUGUGAAUCCCAGUUCUAGAUCCCAGUUCAUUAAGGAUUUUCUUUCUGGCUUUGCAGGGAAGGAGUGUGGUUUCCAGGAAAGUCCCUGAUAUCUGGAGAAGAAGGCUCCAUGUUGGCCCCAGAAUGGCAUACUCUUGGCUCCAAAGACAUUAAGUCUUCAUCUUCCCACACUAAGAAACAGGAAAAUUUUUAAGCUUUGCGCAGUGGCAGUAUUGUAGCCAAUGAGGUCUAUCCGAGGCGUGAUUAUUGCUAAUAGAAACAGGAAAAUUUUUUUAAUAAAUCCUCACCUUGGUCUUCACAGGAACCACAAGGACAACAUUCUCAAUGCGAAUUCCAAAAGCCCCAUCUUCAUAGUACCCGGGCUCUAAAACAAACCAAAUCCCAAAAAUGAGAAGCAGCCCACGAUGAAGAUGUCUACAGAGAGAAACUUUCACUCCUUGGAUGACUGCCCUACUCCAAAGGAGAAGAAACGGGUGAAGAGCCCACUCUAUCUGGUGUAAGAGCCUAGAGAUGCCACCUUCUCUCAUAUGGCCACUUUUUUAUAGGCACUUGAGGUGCAGAAAGCUAGACUCUGAAGUCCCUGCACACUGGCUACAGGGUAAGGAGUAAAGUAACAGUGGAUCCACUAAAUAAAUCAUGGUUCACAUCCGUAAGACACAAUAAUGAAGGCAUUAAAAUAUAUUUACAAAGACUUGGCAAUGACCUGAGAAAAGGCAAUGUAUCAAGUAAGAAAGCAGAACAUAAGACAAGAUGCCCAGUAAGAUCUCAAUGAUUUAAAAAAAAAAUGCUAUCUACAUACCUGAAAGACCAAAAGCUAAUACAGUAAAACACUAAGUCAUGUUUCCCCUGAGUGGUUAGAUUGCAAAUGAUUUUCAUUUUCUUUUUACACAGUUCCCAUCUCAUUUUUUCUAAAAUGAACAUGUAUCAGUUCUAUAAUCAGAAAAGUUUGUUGGAAGGGAAAAGUAUUGCCAAUUUACUUUAAACUAAUUAAAAAAUACAAAACAACGAAUAGCUUUCAAAAAGGCUCAAGGAUCCACGCAUGCCCUCUAUGUGAGGGACACUUACCAUCAGUGACAAUCAUGCCUGCCUCCAAGGGCUCAUCAGAGAAUGUUUUGUAACUGAUGCCGCAAGGACCCUCAUGGACAUUCAAAAAAGACCCAACACCAUGUCCAGUCCCGUG
rnacentral:lncRNA from 10 species